UGCAUCGAUGAAGAACNGUAGCAAACUGCGAUACCUUGGUGUGAAUUGCAGAAUCCCGUGAACCAUSGAGUCUUUGAACGCAAGUUGCGCCCGAAGCCAUUAGGCCGAGGGCACGUCUGCCUGGGCGUCACGC
rnacentral:rRNA from 1 species